AAAUAGAACGCUGAAGACUGGUGCUUGCACUAGUCAGAUGAGUUGCGAACGGGUGAGUAACGCGUAGGUAACCUACCUNAUAGCGGGGGAUAACUAUUGGAAACGAUAGCUAAUACCGCAUGACAAUUAAGUACUCAUGUACUAAAUUUAAAAGGAGCAAUUGCUUCACUAUGAGAUGGACCUGCGUUGUAUUAGCUAGUUGGUGAGGUAACGGCUCACCAAGGCCACGAUACAUAGCCGACCUGAGAGGGUGAUCGGCCACACUGGGACUGAGACACGGCCCAGACUCCUACGGGAGGCAGCAGUAGGGAAUCUUCGGCAAUGGGGGCAACCCUGACCGAGCAACGCCGCGUGAGUGAAGAAGGUUUUCGGAUCGUAAAGCUCUGUUGUUAGAGAAGAACGGUAAUGGGAGUGGAAAAUCCAUUACGUGACGGUAACUAACCAGAAAGGGACGGCUAACUACGUGCCAGCAGCCGCGGUAAUACGUAGGUCUCGAGCGUUGUCCGGAUUUAUUGGGCGUAAAGCGAGCGCAGGCGGUUAUUUAAGUCUGAAGUUAAAGGCCGUGGCUCAACCAUGGUUCGCUUUGGAAACUGGAUAACUUGAGUGCAGAAGGGGAGAGUGGAAUUCCAUGUGUAGCGGUGAAAUGCGUAGAUAUAUGGAGGAACACCGGUGGCGAAAGCGGCUCUCUGGUCUGUAACUGACGCUGAGGCUCGAAAGCGUGGGGGAGCAAACAGGAUUAGAUACCCUGGUAGUCCACGCCGUAAACGAUGAGUGCUAGGUGUUAGGCCCUUUCCGGGGCUUAGUGCCCCAGCUAACGCAUUAAGCACUCCGCCUGGGGAGUACGACCCCAAGGUUGAAACUCAAGGAAUUGACGGGGCCCGCACAGCGGUGGACAUGUGGUUUAUUCGAAGCACGCGAAAACCUUACAGGUCUUGACUCCUCUGACCGUC
rnacentral:rRNA from 1 species